AUUUGUUGUCUUUGCCACUGGAGCACAGGGUGCCUGGGGAGCAGAGAUCAGCUACUGAGCAGGGGGAUGGCUGGUCCCAGGUUUUCUCUGAGUGGUGAAAAAAGAGGAAUCAGACUAAUUGGCUGCAACUAAGCAGGCCCACAGCUUCAGCAGACCAGUACUGUUUGAAUCAGGGGACAUUUGAGUCCCACUGCUGGAUAAGAGAGAGGAAUUCUGUCAGCCUCAGGACAGGCUACAGAACACACUGCAGGUAACCCAAAAGACCUGGGAAGAAGAGGAAUAGAGAUGAUGGUCUUCAGUAAAAUCUACUUUCAGAAGAAGAAAACUACUUGAGAGGGAAGUCAGUGCUGAAACUUUCCAUUCCAAAGCUUUAACUAUUAGCAGGACUAAAUUAUCUGUGAGAAAGCACUAAGUUCAUUCCACACCUUCUACAGAAAUGCAAAGCAGAGUACAGACAACAUUUCCUACUUUUCAUUAAGUAUCUCUGUGGUUGCCUGGAUGAAUGGAGGUGUCAGAAUUGUAAGUGGAACACUGACUGACCAGGAAAGGAAAUUGUUUUAUUGAUGCAAAUACCAGAGACCGUGCUUGUCAUACUGGAGCUCUAAAAACAAAACUCGUGCCUUCCUCAUUCUCUUUUUCAUAGUCGCUUUUGUUAUGUACUUUUAAAUAUCCUCCUGACUAACUGGCUUCCAGAAGAAGAGGGGGGAAAAGAAUCGUAAAAGCAAAAACUGGGAGAAACCAUUGAAGGAUAGCUGAGCCAUCAAUUUCUGUAGACCAGACCCUUAGGUCCAAUUCACCCUGUGCUACUGCCAGCCACUUACAUCAUUCAUAGCAAAAAUUUUGACAGUCCAAACUGGUGUGUUCAAGACUUGCAGAAAUGCUGCUUAUUCACAAUAUAUCCUAAAAGCUAAACACCAAAUAAUUUUCGCAUCUUCAGAGCAUUAUUUAAAUAGAACAGUUCUUAAACAAGCAAUAUGCCAUUUAAAGGUGCAAAUCUCAGCAUUUGCUACACUAGAAGUUUUUAUGCAAAAUCCUCUUGAAUCCUGGAAAGCUUGCUCGCUAGAAAGGUGCAUGCUGUUCUAAUAUAUAUAUAUAUAUAUCCUAUGUCAGCACAAACAGCCUUCAUGUAAACACGCAGCCGGGAGUACCAUGAGUAACAACUCUGUUUCCAUCA